UCCCCUUUGCCUUAUGGCAUGAUUGUAAGUUUCCUGAGGCCUCCCCAACCAUGUGGAACUGUAAGUCAAUGAAACCUCUUUCCUUUAUAAAUUACCCAGUCUCAGGUAAUGUAUUUAUAGCAGUGUGAAAAUGGCUCAGUACAAUGCAGAAGAGACGUUCGUUACUACUUGCCAAAAACAUGAAAGAUCUUGGGCAGGUACUUUACUUCUCUGAGCCUCAGUUUCCUCAUCAGUAAAAUGGGGAUAGUGAAGCACCUGCCUCAAGAAUGUUGGGAAGGUCACAAGGGAUGACUACCCUGAUGCACUUGGUCUAGCCUGGCAUAUGCUAAAUCCUCAGUAAACGUUCGCUAGUAAUCAUAAUACAUCCUAGCAGAGCUCAGGACAUAGUGCUGGCACUGGCUGGUCUUCAGGAAGGAUUGAUAUUAACAAAUGAUAAAAAGCAAUCCUCCAAAGAUAGCCCAUCCCACUCAGCAUAAAAGUCAAAGUCGUUACUGGGUCUGACUAAUUUUCUGCAUUGGCUGGUGCCCUUCUCCCCAGCUUUCCACUCUGCUUGGCCAAACUGUUCCUCAGACAGGCCAGGUGCGUUCCCAAUCUCAGGGCCUCUGGCUUGGCCUUCCCUCCAGGCAAUGUUCUUCCUCCAGAUGGCUGUGGAGUUCACUCCCUGGUGUGUCUUAGGUCUUUGCUCAAAGACCACCUCCUCCUGAGGCCAUCCCAGAACCCCCUCUUUCAAGCAGCACUCACUCCACUCCCUAGCCCUUAUUCUGCAUCCCUAAAUACAGCACUUUUUACUGCCUGGCACUGUGCGUUUGCUGAUUUAUUCUCUCUCUGCUAUCACCCAGAAUGUUUGUUCCAGAAGACUGUCUCAUCAUCACUGUUACAUCUCUGGCACUGGAGUAGCCUCUGGCACAUGGUCAGUACUCAGUACAUAUUUGCGAGACACAUUGACUUGUAGAACAGUUCCACAGCUGUCCAUCACGGCUGUUCCAUACCUAUCUAUGCAGCCCCUUGAAACAUACCGGAGAGCUGGGCAGACCAAGGAUAAUCUAACAGCUCACAAGGCACCUGUCACCACUCCGAGGGGACCAUCACCUGGCCCUGUCACUGUCUGAGCUGGAGGGAAGAGGCUGAGUCUUCCUCAUCGUUGUACCCCAGCCCCUAGAGCAGGUAGGCACAGGAGGCACACACUUUUGAAUGCACACAUGAAUAUGUUAAUGUGGGGAGCUGGGUGCUUUGUCAUUGGAUUGGAAGUGCUGGGAAAUGGUCGAGGGUGAGACAAUCACAAAUGAGAAAAGCUCUAGUCGUUUCAACAAGCAUUCAUUUUCUUUUCUUUUUAUUAAAGAUAGUGUUUUACUUUGUUGCCCAGGCUGGAGUGCAAUGGUGUGAUCAUGUAUCACUACAGACUCAACCUCCUUUGCUCAAGCAAUCCUCCCACCUCAGCCUCCUGAGUAGUUGGGACUGCAGGGUGUGUACCACCACACCUGGCUUUUUUUUUUUUUUUUCUUUUUCUGAGAGAUGCGGUCUCACUAUGUUGCCCAGGCUGUUUUCAAACUCCUGAAUGCAAGUAAUCCUCCUGCCUUAGCCUCCCAAUGCACUGACACUCCAAGGGUGAGCCAUCAUGCCUGGCUUCAACAAGCCUGUAUUGAUAACUACCCUGUUUUUAGUUUCUGUCUAGUGAACUGGGACAAACAGUUACAAGGUAUUUUUUGUUUACAAUUUAUUGUAUCAACUAUAGUAACUCACUUAGGGUUACCAUGAAGUGAAUCGUUUGUUUCAAGGCCACCCUUUUACACAGGACUCUUUCUGGACCCUGAACCUAAUUUUGUAUUCUUUUCGUUUAAGAGUUCCCCUGUCCCAUAGAUGUAUAAAAUUCAGGUUCCACAAAAUCUGGAUUCACUAUUGCAUUCAAUACCUAUUUAUUGGUCCAUAAUAUGGAAAUAGAAGGAUGACUCAGAGAGACAUACUCCUCCCCUUCCUGGAGCUCUUCUCAGGACAGUGGCAGGACAGGCAGGAAGCAGGUGGCUCCAGGCAGUGUAGGACAUGUUGAGAGGAGAAACUGGAGUACAGAGGGCCCUCAUAGUAGACAGUUAUCUUUUGGGGGGUCUGUUCACCCAAUUCCCUUCCACAGUUCCAGUUUCCCCCUUGGUGGGAGUCAGGGUCUGCUUGACACAACAGAGGCUCAGAAUGCUAGAUCCUGGCUCCAAAGCCAAGGCAGUGAGGAGUGGGCACAUGAUCCAAGCUCUGUCAACUGUGAGCUUUUGCUUGGGACUCCAAACCUGCACCUGCCAUUACUGAGAUAUUGGCAGGGGAAGCUCUAGGAUCUAAUGGGGCUGGUUAUGACCCUGCCCCAGCCAGUGGGGAUUAUGGGAGAUACAAUUCAAGAUGAGACUUGGAUGGGGACACAGCCAAACCAUAUCAUCGUCCAUUUCUAAGCCUGGUUCUCUGGGCUUCCAGUGGGUCUCUUAAGUGGAGUUCCAGUAAACACUUCCUUUAUACUUCUUUGUCCAGAUUACAUUUCUCUCCUUUGCAACCAAGGAUCCUGACUGGUACAAAUUCCCAACUCAGUCUUGGCAGAGGAAGUCAUGUUUCUCAAGAGUGGGACAUUUAUGCUAACACCUGAAGGAGCUAGAUGAAGGGGGAUGCAGAGGUGUGAACAGCAAUGUUUCAGGCAGAGUAGCCUGUGCAAAGGCCCAGAGAAAAGGAGAUUAAGGGAAAUGUAAAAGGUGGCAAACAGCAGAUGGCUCAGGACCAUAAUUGUUAGAUUAAGGAAUGUGAACUUAAAAAAAAAUUGUUUUGAGACAGGGUCUGAUUCUGUCACCCAGGCUGGGAUGCAGUGUUGCCGUCAUGGCUCACUGGAGCCUCAACCUCCUGGGCUCGUGAUCCUCCCACGUCAGCCUCCUGAGUAGCUAAGAGCACACCACACCUGGCUAAUUAUUUUUUGUAGAAACAGAGUUUUGCCAUUGUAGAGACAGGCUGGUCUUGAACUCCUGGCUUCAAGUGAUCCUCCUACCUCAGCCUCCCAAAAUGCUGGGAUUACAGGCAUGAGCCACCACACCUGGCCAGGAAUUUGAACUUAAUUCUGAGGAAAGUCGGGAGCCAUUCACAGGCGCAGAAAGAACCAGACUUUGAGAAAGUUUACUUGGAUUGCAAUGUAGAGAAUGGACUGCAACAAAAGCAAGGUGAGGAAGGGAGUCCUUUUACUGCAGUCACUUAGGCAUGAGAUGAUAGUGCUGGGACUAAGGUGAUGGCAGUGGGGAGACAUGGAGAGAAGUGAAGUUUCAAUAGCUGUAACGCAGGUAUGGAUAGAAUGUGGGAGUUGGUUGAGCAGAAGCAGGUGCCAAGGAUGACUUGUUUUUUGUUUGCAUGAGAAUAUGGUUUAGUUAGAAAGGGAGGGAAUGUUGUUUGUUGGAAAGUUUAGGGAUGGAUAUUGAGUUUGAAGUGCUUGUGGCACAUUCAGAUAAAAUGUUCAGGGGCUGAUUGGAUGUGAGUUUGACAUUCUGGAAAGGGGUUUGGAUCAAGAUACAGAUGUCAUCAGCACACAGCUGUUAACUGGAGCCAUAGGAGUGAGUGACAGUGUUGAAGGAGGGAGGCAGAACAGCAACAUUCAGGGGACAAAAGAGGUCUUUUAAAGGAGACUGAAGAGAAGCUGAGAGAAAAAGUAGAAAAGAGGAAAGUCAACUGGUGAAUGCUUUUGAUUCAUCAAGUAAGACUGAGCUAUACCCAUUAGAUGUAGCCAGUGAUUUUGGAAGUGCAGAGGAUGGAAGCAGUUCUCCUGGGGAAAGGUAUCUUAGAAAGGCUACUGGGAAGGUGACAUAUCUAUUGAGCUGCUAUGUGGGAUGCUCUCCUUAGUGACUUUCACAUAUUAGCUUCUUUAGCUCUCAUGACAAUCCUUGAGUAUUAACCCUGUUUUUUAUACACUUCUGAAAUAGGGUCUUGCCCUAUCUCCCAUGCUGACUGCGAUGGUAUGAUCAUAGUUCACUGCAGCCUCACUCCCGGGCUCAAGCAAUCCUCCCACCUCAGCCUUCAGAGUAGCUUGAACUACAGGAGCUCAUACUGCACAGGUUAGCACAUUUUCAUUUGUUCAUGCAAGACAGGGGCUCACUCUGUCGCCCAGGCUGGAGUGCAGUGGCGUGAUCACGGCUCAUUGCAGCCUUGACAUUCUGGGCUCAGGUGAUCCUUCCACCUCAGCCUUCUGAGUAGCCAGGACUACAGGUGUGCACCACCACACCUAGCUAAUUUUUCUAUUUUUUGUAGACACAGGUUUUCCCCAUGUUGCCCAGGCUGAGCCCUGUUUUCUAAAAUAAUCAAGACUCAAAGUAUCUUACCUAAGAUCACACUGCUUCUAAGUGGUAAAGAUUAGCCCUAGAUCAAUAUAGAACUCUAGAAUUCCAGAUCUAGAACCCUAGAUCCAUCUGGUCUGAAGUCUUUCCACUACUUACUUCCUCUGUGUCCACAUCCUGCCAUGUAGGGUAAUUUUAUUAAUUCAUGAUUUGGUUGACCAAAUAUUUGAAUGUUUACUGGGUGCUGGGCAGUUCUAGGUGCUGGGAAUACAACAGUGAAAAAAAGCUGUCAAAUACUUCAUGCUCUUCACAUUCUAGCAGGAAUCAGACAUAAAUAUGCAGUAUGUCAUGUAAUAAGACAUGUAAAUAAAGAGGGUUAAGGAUGUGUUUAGGGUUUAAAAAAUUAUAUAUAUGUAUACACACACACACGAAUUUCUUUCCUGCCCCUUAUGAUCUACAAGAACAGGGUUAUUAGAAUUAAUUACUAAUAAAAGGCACAUUGGAGCCAAGACCCAAGGAAGGGGAGAAACCAGUCACCCAGUUAUCCAAAAGGAGGAACAUAAAACCUCCAAGGUUAAGACGCUUGGCAUGUCCCAGGAGCAGCAAGGCCAGUAUGGUGGGAACAAGGAUUAAGAGCCAGCAGCAGUGGAAAUUAGAUCAGAGAAACAAGUCAUGGGGUAAAGAUGGGGUGAGGGAUAAGGAAAUCAGAUGUAGGGCCAUGUAGACCAAAUUAAGUAUUUUGACAUAAAAAUCCCAGUAGAUGGGAAGCCAUGUGGCGGGUUUUGAGCCAAGUGGUGCUGUGCUGAGAAGACAAAAUGGAGGGUGAGGACUAAGCAGGGAGGCCGAGGACUAAGCAGGGAGGCCAGUUAAGGCUACUGUGGUACCUACGUAAGAAAUGAGGGUGGGUGGGUGAAGAAGUGAGUUGCUCAAUUUCUAAAAUGUUUGGAAUGCGAUCGACAGGAUUUGAUGCUAGACUGGAUGCAGAGUAAUGGCAACUGAAAAGAUGUUAAGGGAUCAGAUAUCUCCCAUUGAAAACUGAGAAGCAGGAGUCAGCAAGGUGGAAAGAAAAAGGUGUUCUGCGAACAAUUUAACACUUCCAAGGAACGAGUAACAUGUCAAACGCUGCCUACAGGAGGGUCAAAACAUACUGGAUACAGUAAGCCAAAACUUCACAACCAGGGUUGUGAAGCCCUAAUGAGGCUUGAGAAUGGGGAAAACUGGACAACUAUUUCAAUUUUGCAGAACUUUGAAGCAGUAAAGACAUGCAGUCUUAUUUUGAAGUCACUAUGAAGUGAAUGAAUAGUAGUCACUACAUGCUGAUACUAAAAACACUGGCCAUCAUGUGAGGUACAUCCCAAUUAUUCCAAAUACUGCUGGUUCCAUAGUAUGGUAGGUUGUAAGUACACAGUUUGUUAGAUGUCUUUGGAACAAGGAAGCAGUAUUAAACAUUUUGUGUAGCUUGACAUGUAUGGGGUGGGACGAUUAAGCCAUGAUUCUGUAAACGAUGACAAACCACUGCAUGCCAGGCUUCAUUCUGAAACUUCCCAUGGCCUGAUACCCUGGCUGAAUUGAGGGAAUUCUGGCUAUAAUAGGAACUCAAUUGAUCUACCUAACCACUUACUCCUUUUGCUAGGUUAAAAAUUAGUUUCCUCCCCUUGGUGGGAAGGGUUGGGCAGAGUCAGGAAUAAUUUACAGCUCCUUUAAAAAUCUAAAAUAGGUUCAUACAAAUCUCUGCUUAGCCUUCAUUUUGCUGUACUCAAAAUACCCGCCAAAAGCUUAUGAACUUGUUAAAACUUCAGGGAAGAUGAAUGCCGUAAUGUGUAACAGCUUCCCUGGUCCAAACAGGCCAAAAAAACAUUGAUUGGUUCUACAACCCAUUUGAGCAUGCGCAAGUAGCUAAGUUCGUCCAAAGAUCAUUUCAGUCUGACAGAAAUGUCACCAAAUUUUAGUUGCGAUGUGUAGCAAUGUUCUCCAAAUUCAUGAGACUUGUGACCUGUCUUUGAUUAAUUCUACAGAUUUUGGGUGCCAUUUACAGCCACACAUCACUACAUCAAGUAUCACAAUGUUUAUUGAUAGAUACAAGUAUAUAAAAUCAGGGCAUGAACAUGACUUGAUAAAUUAAGUAGACUUAAUUUCAAUACUAUAAUAGGAGGGACCAAUUCAAAUUCUCACCAUUUGUUUCACACCCACAAAAACCACUUCAAGGGCAUUAACGAUCUCUCAAAACUGAUCAGUUUUGUGCAAGUAAACCAUGUUUCUUUUAAAAAGACUUGUGCACUUGCCCAGGCUCAAGGAUAUUAAAAUCUAGCACAUAAAGCCCAUUACUAGAGGUAGAAAUACAGGCAAUAUACUAUUACUGCAACAACCAUCAAUUACAGUUAAGAAUUUUUCUGUAACAACCAAAUGGAUAAUCAAAUAUUGCAACAACUCAAGUAUUACUGAGCAAAGUGCAUUUCUACAGUAUUCAGUGUUGCUAUUCAGUUUCUAACUUAAAACAGCCUAUGAUAACUGGCAGCAAAGAAGGUCCUUGCAAUAGACUGCCUCUGCUUGAGAACUUAUGAUGUAAUUAUUGCAUGCUGCUAAUAUACUAUCUAAACAUUAAAGAUACUCCUAAAAUAUUUGAUGGUAGACUAUGAUUAAGACAUUACACUACAAAAAAAAAACCUUAUGCAGAAGGAAAUCCUAAGUGACGUGCUUCUGCUUUAAAUAUUGUGAAAACAUUACAGCGGAA